rnacentral:rRNA from 1 species
AGAGCGAACGCUGGCGGCAGGCCUAACACAUGCAAGUCGAGCGCCCGUAGCAAUACGGGAGCGGCAGACGGGAUAGUAACACGUGGGAACGCGCCCUUCGGUUCGGAAUAACUCAGGGAAACUUGAGCUAAUACCGAAUACGCCCUUACGGGGAAAGAUUUAUUGCCGAAGGAACGGCCCGCGUCCGAUUAGCUAGUUGGUGAGGUAAUGGCUCACCAAGGCUACGAUCGGUAGCUGGUCUGAGAGGAUGACCAGCAUCACUGGGACUGAGACACGGCCCAGACUCCUACGGGAGGCAGCAGUGGGGAAUAUUGGACAAUGGGCGCAAGCCUGAUCCAGCCAUGCCGCGUGGAUGAUGAAGGCCUUAGGGUUGUAAAGUCCUUUUAACGGGGAAGAUAAUGACGGUACCGUAGAAUAAGCCCCGGCUAACUUCGUGCCAGCAGCCGC